GGGUGACUAGUGACAGAGUGAGGGAAUGGGUGACUAGUGACAGAGUGAGGGAGGGAAGAGAUGACUAGUGGCAAAGUGAGGGAGGGAAGGGGUGACUAGUGACAGAGUGAGGGGGGGUGACUGUCACUAGUCACCCCAUCCCUCUCUCUGUCACUAGUCACUCCCUCCCUAACUCUGUCACUGUGUCACCCGCUCCCUCACUCUGUCACCCGCUCCCUCUCUCUGUCACUAGUCACCCCAUCCCUCUCUCUGUCACUAGUCACCCC